GACGAACGCUGGCGGCGUGCUUAACACAUGCAAGUCGAACGCAGUGGCGAACGGGUGAGUAACACGUGAGUAACCUGCCCCCUUCUUUGGGAUAACGCCCGGAAACGGGUGCUAAUACUGGAUUGUGGGGGAUGGGCUCGCGGCCUAUCAGCUUGUUGGUGGGGUGAUGGCCUACCAAGGCUUUGACGGGUAGCCGGCCUGAGAGGGUGACCGGUCACAUUGGGACUGAGAUACGGCCCAGACUCCUACGGGAGGCAGCAGUGGGGAAUAUUGCACAAUGGGCGAAAGCCUGAUCCAGCCAUGCCGCGUGUGUGAAGAAGGUCUUCGGAUUGUAAAGCACUUUAAGUUGGGAGGCGUUACCAACAGAAUAAGCACCGGCUAACUUCGUGCCAGCCGCCGCGGUAAUUC
rnacentral:rRNA from 1 species